rnacentral:tRNA from 1 species
UACCCCGCCCGGGACUCGAACCCGGAUGCCUUACGGCAGCGGAUUUUGAAUCCGCCGUGUCUACCAGUUCCACCAGCAGGGC